AAUUGCAGACAUCAUGUGUGACUGAGUAUUGGUGUAGGCGAUAGCCUAAAAUCACCCGCCAGCAGAUAAUAUCUGCUGGCUUUUU
rnacentral:misc_RNA from 1 species